GAUGAACGCUGGCGGCGUGCCUAAUACAUGCAAGUCGAGCGAACAGACGAGGAGCUUGCUCCUCUGACGUUAGCGGCGGACGGGUGAGUAACACGUGGAUAACCUACCUAUAAGACUGGGAUAACUUCGGGAAACCGGAGCUAAUACCGGAUAAUAUAUUGAACCGCAUGGUUCAAUAGUGAAAGACGGUUUUGCUGUCACUUAUAGAUGGAUCCGCGCCGCAUUAGCUAGUUGGUAAGGUAACGGCUUACCAAGGCGACGAUGCGUAGCCGACCUGAGAGGGUGAUCGGCCACACUGGAACUGAGACACGGUCCAGACUCCUACGGGAGGCAGCAGUAGGGAAUCUUCGGCAAUGGGCGAAAGCUUGACGGAGCAACGCCGCGUGAGUGAUGAAGGUCUUCGGAUCGUAAAACUCUGUUAUUAGGGAAGAACAAAUGUGUAAGUAACUAUGCACGUCUUGACGGUACCUAAUCAGAAAGCCACGGCUAACUACGUG
rnacentral:rRNA from 1 species